UACGUAGGGACCUAGCGUUGUCCGGAAUCAUUGGGCGUAAAGCGCGCGUAGGCGGCCCGGUAAGUCCGUUGUAAAAGCCGAAGGCUCAACCUUCGAAAGCCGAUGGAUACUGCCGGGCUAGAGUACGGAAGAGGCGAGUAGAAUUCCUGGUGUAGCGGUGGAAUGCGCAGAUAUCAGGAGGAAUACCCGUAGCGAAGGCGGCUCGCUGGGACGGUACUGACGCUGAGGCGCGAAAGCGUGGGGAGCGAACAGG
rnacentral:rRNA from 1 species